rnacentral:rRNA from 1 species
GACGUAGGGCGCGAGCGUUGUCCGGAUUUAUUGGGCGUAAAGCGCACGCAGGUGGCUGAGCGAGUCGAUUGUGAAAGCCCUGGGCUUAACCUGGGAAUUGCAGUCGAUACUACUCAGCUAGAGUAUGGGAGAGGGUAGUGGAAUUCCCGGUGUAGCGGUGAAAUGCGUAGAUAUCAGGAGGAACACCAGUGGCGAAGGCGGUGCUCUGGGCCGGAACUGACGCUGAGGAGCGAAAGCGUGGGGAGCAAACAGG